rnacentral:rRNA from 1 species
UACGGAGGGGGCUAGCGUUGUUCGGAAUUACUGGGCGUAAAGCGCACGUAGGCGGCGAUUUAAGUCAGAGGUGAAAGCCCGGGGCUCAACCCCGGAAUAGCCUUUGAGACUGGAUUGCUUGAACAUCGGAGAGGUGAGUGGAAUUCCGAGUGUAGAGGUGAAAUUCGUAGAUAUUCGCAAGAACACCAGUGGCGAAGGCGGCUCACUGGCCCGGUACUGACGCUGAGGUGCGAAAGCGUGGGGAGCAAACAGG